UUUACUACGGGACAGCCCGGCGAAAGUCGGAUUAAUACCGUAUGUGGUGUGAAGAGGGCAUCUGACUUACACUAAAGAUUCGUCGGCUAGGGAUGGGGAUGCGUCCGAUUAGGUUGUCGGCGGGGUAACGGCCCACCGAGCCCGCGAUCGGUAGGGGUUCUGAGAGGAAGGUCCCCCACACUGGAACUGAGACACGGUCCAGACUCCUACGGGAGGCAGCAGUGAGGAAUAUUGGUCAAUGGGCGAGAGCCUGAACCAGCCAAGUAGCGUGAGGGAAGACUGCCCUAUGGGUUGUAAACCUCUUUAGUCUGGGAAUAAAGCUGGCGACGUGUCGCCUUUUGUAGGUACCAGAAGAAUAAGGACCGGCUAAUUCCGUGCCAGCAGCCGCGGUAAUACGGAAGGUCCGGGCGUUAUCCGGAUUUAUUGGGUUUAAAGGGAGCGCAGGCGGCCUGUUAAGCGGGGCAGUUAAAGGCGGUGGCUCAACCAUCGUUAGCUGUCCGAACUGAUAGGCUUGAGUACGUGCGAGGUAUGCGGAAUUCGUGGGUGUAGCGGUGCAAAUGCUUUAGAUAUCACGAAGAACCCCGAAUUGCGAAAGGCACGCCAUACCAGUGCGCCACUGAACGCUAAAGCUCGAAAGCGCGGGUAUCGAACAGGAUUAGAUACCCUGGUAGUCCGCGCGGUAAACGAUGGAUGCCCGCUGUGCGGCCUUUAGUGGUUGCGCGGCCAAAGCGAAAAGCGUUAAGCAUCCCACCUGGGGAGUACGCCGGCAACGGUGAAACUCAAAGGAAUUGACGGGGGCCCGCACAAGCGGAGGAACAAUGUGGUUUAAUUCGAUGAUACGCGAGGAACCUUACCCGGGCUUGAAUUGCAGCUGCAUGGGGCAGAGAUGUCCCUUCCCUUCGGGCUGCCUGCUGUGAAGGUGCUGCAUGGUUGUCGUCAGCUCGUGCCGUGAGGUGUCGGCUUAAGUGCCAUAACGAGCGCAACCCCCCUCCCCGGUUGCCAUCGGGUAAUGCCGGGCACUCCGAGGACACUGCCACCGCAAGGUGUGAGGAAGGUGGGGAUGACGUCAAAUCAGCACGGCCCCUUACGUCCGGGGCUACACACGUGUUACAAUGGCAGGCACAGAGAGCAGGCAUUCCGCAAGGCAUGUCGAAUCCUUAAAUCCUGCCUCAGUUCGGACUGGGGUCUGCAACCCGACCCCACGAAGCUGGAUUCGCUAGUAAUCGCGCAUCAGCCAUGGCGCGGUGAAUACGUUCCCGGGCCUUGUACACACCGCCCGUCAAGCCAUGAAAGCCGGGGGCGCCUGAAGUCCGUGACCGCAAGG
rnacentral:rRNA from 1 species